rnacentral:rRNA from 1 species
AUUGAACGCUGGCGGCAUGCUUUACACAUGCAAGUCGAACGGUAACAGGCCGCUAGGUGCUGACGAGUGGCGCACGGGUGAGUAAUGCAUCUGAACGUGCCCAGUCGUGGGGGAUAACUCCUCGAAAGAGUAGCUAAUACCGCAUACGAUCCAUGGAUGAAAGCGGGGGACCGUAAGGCCUCGCGCGAUUGGAGCGGCCAGUGUCAGAGUAUGUAGAUGGUGGGGUAAAGGCUCACCAAGCCAACGAUCUGUAGCUGGUCUGAGAGGACAACCAGCCACACUGGGACUGAGACACGGCCCAGACUCCUACGGGAGGCAGCAGUGGGGAAUUUUGGACAAUGGGCGCAAGCCUGAUCCAGCAAUGCCGCGUGCAGGAAGAAGGCCUUCGGGUUGUAAACUGCUUUUGUACGGAACGAAACGGCUCUGGUUAAUACCCGGGGCUAAUGACGGUACCGUAAGAAUAAGCACCGGCUAACUACGU